rnacentral:tRNA from 1 species
GGUCCAUUCGUCUAGGGGUUAGGACGUCAGGUUUUCAUCCUGGUAACAGGGGUUCGAUUCCCCUAUGGACUA